CGGGAAGAGCUCAAAUUUGAAAGCUGGCGUCCUACGGGCGUCCGCAUUGUAAUCUAUAGAGGCGUUUUCUGUGCUGGACCGUGUCCAAGUCCCUUGGAACAGGGUAUCAAAGAGGGUGACAAUCCCGUACUUGACACGACAACCAGUGCUCUGUGAUACGUCUUCUAC
rnacentral:rRNA from 1 species